rnacentral:rRNA from 1 species
CUGGCUCAGGAUGAACGCUGGCGGCGUGCCUAACACAUGCAAGUCGAACGAGGCACUGGAAGCGGAGAUUCGUCGAAGCAUCCUUGACUUAGUGGCGGACGGGUGAGUAAUGUGUGAGCAACCUGCCUUUCAGAGGGGGACAACAGUUGGAAACGACUGCUAAUACCGCAUAAUGUAUUUUUGGAGGCAUCUCCGGGAUACCAAAGGAGCAAUCCGCUGAAAGAUGGGCUCACAUCUGAUUAGCUAGUUGGUGAGGUAACGGCUCACCAAGGCUGCGAUCAGUAGCCGGACUGAGAGGUUGAACGGCCACAUUGGGACUGAGAUACGGCCCAGACUCCUACGGGAGGCAGCAGUGGGGAAUAUUGGGCAAUGGGCGAAAGCCUCGACCCAGCAACGCCGCGUGAAGGAAGAAGGUCCUCGGAUUGUAAACUUCUUUUAUGAGGGACGAAGGACGUGACGGUACCUCAUGAAUAAGCCACGGCUAACUACGUGCCAGCAGCGGC